CAACGGGCACAACCCCUGUUGCCUGGGGAAAGGGUCCUGGUGCGGGAUUUCCGUCGGAGGGCCCGAGGCAAGUUGGGCUACCACUGGGAUCCCCGUCCAUACGUGGUCCAAAGUCAACCCAGGAAGGAUUGUCCAGUCUAUGUGAUCCGCCCGGAGGGAUGGGAUGGGCCCCUACGCACCAUCCACCAAAACAACCUGCAUCUCCAACCCAGCAGCUGGUCACAUGGGACUCAUGCGGGCGGAGCCCUUUUUAUACGGGAUGUUCCUGCCGGAGAGGACUCAGCUUCCCAGCCUGCCCGGGCGGGCAUGAUGUCAACACGCUGCGACGGAGCAGAACAUCAACAACACAACGCAACGCAGCAGCAGCCUGAUCGGUGUGGAAAAUAGCAGAGCGCGAUCGCAUGCCAACUACAGGAAAGUGCUGACUUCUGUCUCUGAAUCUGUUGGCAUGACUGGGUUGUCACGGUGGAUCGUUGUAUGUGUGUGAGUGUGCAUUUUGUCUCUUGGAGGUGUGGACGGGAGAACAGCAGCCGGCGAGAACCCGGAAGCGGCACCGCAGAGGGAGAGAGUGAACCGCGAGUGAAUACCUAAUACAGGAAAGUACUGACUACCUAUUCCUGAUCUGGAUGUGUGGGCUGGCGUCUGAGACUGCAUGUAUUUUGAGUGCCGCUGUUUUUCAUGUUGCCAGCACUGGUGGAGUUCGCCGAGGGCAGACUGCACGCGUGUGAGGGACAGGGACCGGUUCCAACGGAAUACAGCGGCCAUCGGAGAGGGAGUGUUUGGAGGACUAUCGGUCUGACGUGGAGUGCUGGGCGAGUGGACUACGUGCCUGUCUUCUCCCGGCCGGGGAUGGGUGUGCAGCAGAACGGUCAUAAGGACUACAGAAGCGUGCUGGCGGCUACGGAAACUACACUGCUCUGCCACGCCCCCCGAAUGGACUGUUCACGCUACGGACGUUGGUUGGUGCAUGACUGAACUUUAUUAUUAUUGUGUGGCUAGCGGAUAUUUGUUUGGUCGGCGUGGGGGUGCGGCCGCCGACCAAAUUGGACUUAAUCUUUCACCUGGUCAGACGGCACACCUGCUCAGCGGGGUGGCAGGCCUCAAGCCCCCUUAUUAGUGUGUGUAUAACGGGUGUAGCAUUCAGGAGGGCAUGCAUAUGUGAAUCAUCAGAGAGUGAGUAAUAGUGUGUGGUGUCGUGUUAUCAUUGUGAUUACUGAUCUUUCCUUAUGGUGCAUUUGUGUGUAUUCUGUGCAGUGAUUCCCCAUGUGGCUGGGUUUUGGGAUAUAACAGCCUUUGAAUGGUGUAGCAAUCUCUCUUUAUUUUUUAGGCUUAUUUGCUGUGAUUUAUGUGGACAAUGCUUAAACCUCCUGAUCAUAUGUACGCAGCUCCGAUGUGUCUUGUGGGUAGCGGGUAGUAAUAACCCCUCUAAUUACUGUCACCUAGGGGUGGGCGGGGCCCAUGGUACUACAUGGUUGAGGUGCUGUCAUUCUACUGAAUGUGUGUUGGACUGCUGACCCUUACAAUAAAAGCUAUAAACUUUACAA